UUGCAUCUACUGCAGACCCAGGGCAGCCAAUGUCUGCCACCAAGGUUCCCACUACUGACGUAGGCAAAAUGGUUCCUCUUUCCACUUUCUGUCUGACUGUGGCAGUCAAGAAUGAAUGGGGAAAUGCAACA
rnacentral:snoRNA from 1 species